GACGAACGCUGGCGGCGUGCCUAAUACAUGCAAGUCGAGCGGAUGGAAGGAAGCUUGCUUCCUAAAGUCAGCGGCGGACGGGUGAGUAACACGUGGGCAACCUGCCCCUAAGAUCGGGAUAACUUCGGGAAACCGGAGCUAAUACCGGAUAUGAUUAUGUCUCACAUGAGACAUAAUGGAAAGACGGUUUCGGCUGUCACUUAGGGAUGGGCCCGCGGCGCAUUAGCUAGUUGGUGAGGUAACGGCUCACCAAGGCGACGAUGCGUAGCCGACAUGAGAGGGUGAUCGGCCACACUGGGACUGAGACACGGCCAAGACUCCUACGGAGGCAGCAGUAGGGAAUCUUCCGCAAUGGACGAAAGUCUGACGGAGCAACGCCGCGUGAGUGAAGAAGGUUUUCGGAUCGUAAAACUCUGUUGUUAGGGAAGAACAAGUACCAUAGUAACUGAUGGUACCUUGACGGUACCUAACCAGAAAGCCACGGCUAACUACGUGCCAGCCGCCGCCGUAAGAC
rnacentral:rRNA from 1 species